rnacentral:sRNA from 1 species
UCGAGUUCGGACAUUUCCUGGGUGGGA